rnacentral:lncRNA from 1 species
GGCAGCCCAGUGGUGACACGCAGGCCUGAGGGAACCCCCUCCCGAGAUCCGUACCCUCUGGGGGCCUCGGUGCCAUGGGGGCUGCCUGUGCCUCUUCCAUGGUGUCCCAGCCACAGCCAGGCUCAUAUGUGUCAGCUCUGGUCCUUGUUACAGGACACCAGGCAUCUCUGCAAGAUCUGAGGAGAGGGGCGCUGCAGCAGGGCCCAGAGCUCGGCCUCCCCGGAACUAGGCUGGGGCCAGCGGACCAGAAGGAAUCGAUUGCUCAUUCUGAGAGCUACCGAGAGCUGAUUUGAAUCACCGUGGUGCGAAUGCCCGGUCAGGGGCGCUGGCGGCCACUGGCGUUCCAGGCAAGGCCAGACUGCAGACGAAACGGGCUUUCACUGGCCCGUGGCCUGGCCUGGUGCUAAAUGAUUCAUUCUUUGCCGGGACCAAAGGACACUUGAUCCGCCUUUUCAGGCCUGUCAUUGAACAAUUCAAAUCAAUGGAUGGGAUUACGGGCUGAUAGAAACGGGAGUUCUCCACGCUCAGAGAAUGACAACUGUGGGACUGCUGGGGGCCCCGUCUGCCUGAAGAGCCGUGCUCGGGAGACGCGGAGGGGAACGAGGUGGAGCACGCUCACAUGGUCGGGCUCCGCUACACUCCCUGGACGUUUUGAAAUAGAAUGCAUUAUUUCAGAAUAACAUAUUCUUAUUUUAAUUAACUUUUGAUGUUUCUGAGCUUUCAAUUAUCAGCAGAGCAAAGAGAACCACUCCGCCGGCUUGGAGCAGGCCCUGUGAUCCUAGAAUGUGUUGUGGGUGUGCCUCAGGGCUCGUCACAGGCUGCUGAGCCUCAGUUUCCCUCCUCACGGAGCCUCCUUUCCGACUGAUUCUUGCGAUGACUCCCCAGAUUGACUGUGAAAUCAGUUUUGAGUACCUUGAAAAAUUUCUAAGAAGUUAUGGUUUUGACGCAGAAAGUUAGCUAAAUAAUACAGCAGGCUGAAUCACAUCUGGAAGAACUGAGAAUUCUAUCCAGAGUCUAAACACUGAAUCAGCAAGCAGCUUCUCUGGCUGUUCGGUGGCCUGUGUUUCGGGGACACCCAGGGAGGUCUCGGAGGCGUGGGGACCUGUCCUGUUGGGUGGUUUUGGAUGAGUCUGGGUUGAUCAUGCAGGGAGCUGAGGGCCCAGCCACAAGGUGUGGCCCUCAGGGAAGAUAAACCCAGGAAACGGUGAGAGCUGUCAGUGGGGAAAGUCCGUGGCUGGAAAAUCCACGUGCCCAGACAGGGUGCCCGGUGCAGCUGCCCAGUGGGCAGCGGGUGGGUCUCAGAGCCUGGACUCUGGAGCCGUGUGGCUUCAUGGGCGAAUGGGCCUUUGAAUUUCUUGUGUGACCUGGAGCUUGCUUCUGACUCCCGUGGGCCUCCGUUUCUUCAUCUGUAAAUUGGGGUCAUUGAAGAUCCCUCCCAGGGUGACUUUGAGGCUCCACUGGGGACACGCCUGUGGGACCUUAACAAAGAAUCCGGUGGGAGGUGCAGUCGUGGAACCCGUCCACGCUCUGCUUCCUGGUGUUAAACGUGACGACGGCUGGGCAAGUGGGGCCGUGCAAAGUCAUCUCCAAAACACUUCAUCAAAACAUUGAACAUUGUCUUACUAUUGGUUAUAACGUAUAAAGAAAAAGUCAUGAAGUCAAUAGUGUGCUGUAAUUUAACCCCCUAGAACCUUGAGCACUAAAGUGCUUCAUUCCCUGUCGGACGUGCAGCGGGAGGUGUUAGGGCAGCGCUUGCUCCCCGUCCUGCGGCCACACAGAGCGCGUUCCUCCCAGGCCCCGGAGCUGCCUCGCUUCUCCCCUCCGAGUGUGGUCCAGCCUCCAGCGUUCUGUUCUCGGCAUGGUCAGAGCCAGGAAACAUCUCCGAGGGCCUGCAAUGUGAAGGCCUCCAGGCCUGGCCUCACCCGGAGCAGGGUGGGUGCUCAGGGAAGGGAAGCCAGGCUGUGUAUCCCCAGGAGGAGGCUGGGUGGGUGGGCUGGUCGCUGUGUCCCUGGGCUACACUCCUAGGGUGUCGUGGGGUGGGUUAGCUCCUGUGCUGUGUGCUCCUGUGCUAGCAGUGGUGGCCGUGGGGCCCCCUCGGUGGCCCUCCCGGAGGAGGGUGCUCUGGUUCUGAGGGUGCAGGUGUCCAGGCUGAUGCUGUGUGAACGGGCCUGUGUCUGCACUACCGCUCCCCGAUCCUGUCUCAGGUUGGAAAGAGAUGGGUGGUCCAGCUGUCUCUGUAGAAUUCCCCUGUGUCCUACGAGCAAGGCAUUGGUUUGUGGCUUUGUCUGGUUUGUGUCCAGGGGGUUUUAAUGACCGACCCUCUGCUUGCCAGAGGCCUUCUGAACGGCAGCUUUGGAAAAGUCAAGGGUGGUCGUCCUGGGUCCUGGGCUGACUGAGAUACCAGGUGGUCUAGUUCUGAGGAAUUCCCUGAGCCUAGGCCCCUGGUGGGCAGCUGGAUGGACAUGGCUGGGCCUCAGGUGAGGCAGGAGUGGGAGGCGGGUGAGCCUAAGGCCAGCUUCACAGAGGGACAUCCAGACAGAGCUACGUGGACCUGCAUCUUUGUCAACAUCAAGGGGCAGGUGGGGCGAGAGAGCGGUCACCGAGGGCAGGAUUCUGGAAGCUUCUGGGCAGCGUC